rnacentral:rRNA from 1 species
AGUUGCCUACGGGGGGCAGCAGUGGGGAAUAUUGCACAAUGGGGGAAACCCUGAUGCAGCGACGCCGCGUGAGUGAAGAAGUAUUUCGGUACGUAAAGCUCUAUCAGCAGGGAAGAAAAAAAGUCCUUUGGACUUUGGACGGUACCUGACCAAGAAGCCCCGGCUAACUACGUGCCAGCAGCCGCGGUAAUACGUAGGGGGCAAGCGUUAUCCGGAUUUACUGGGUGUAAAGGGAGCGUAGACGGCACUGCAAGUCCGGAGUGAAAGCCCAAGGCUUAACCAUGGGACUGCUCUGGAAACUGUGG